rnacentral:rRNA from 1 species
CUCCUACGGGAGGCAGCAGUGAGGAAUAUUGGUCAAUGGGCGAGAGCCUGAACCAGCCAAGUAGCGUGAAGGAUGACUGCCCUAUGGGUUGUAAACUUCUUUUAUAAAGGAAUAAAGUCGGGUAUGCAUACCCGUUUGCAUGUACUUUAUGAAUAAGGAUCGGCUAACUCCGUGCCAGCAGCCGCGGUAAUACGGAGGAUCCGAGCGUUAUCCGGAUUUAUUGGGUUUAAAGGGAGCGUAGAUGGAUGUUUAAGUCAGUUGUGAAAGUUUGCGGCUCAACCGUAAAAUUGCAGUUGAUACUGGAUAUCUUGAGUGCAGUUGAGGCAGGCGGAAUUCGUGGUGUAGCGGUGAAAUGCUUAGAUAUCACGAAGAACUCCGAUUGCGAAGGCAGCCUGCUAAGCUGCAACUAACAUUGAGGCUCGAAAGUGUGGGUAUCAAACAGGAUUAGAUACCCUGGUAGUCCACACGGUAAACGAUGAAUACUCGCUGUUUGCGAUAUACGGCAAGCGGCCAAGCGAAAGCGUUAAGUAUUCCACCUGGGGAGUACGCCGGCAACGGUGAAACUCAAAGGAAUUGACGGGGGCCCGCACAAGCGGAGGAACAUGUGGUUUAAUUCGAUGAUACGCGAGGAACCUUACCCGGGCUUAAAUUGCAGAUGAAUUACGGUGAAAGCCGUAAGCCGCAAGGCAUCUGUGAAGGUGCUGCAUGGUUGUCGUCAGCUCGUGCCGUGAGGUGUCGGCUUAAGUGCCAUAACGAGCGCAACCCUUGUUGUCAGUUACUAACAGGUUCUGCUGAGGACUCUGACAAGACUGCCAUCGUAAGAUGUGAGGAAGGUGGGGAUGACGUCAAAUCAGCACGGCCCUUACGUCCGGGGCUACACACGUGUUACAAUGGGGGGUACAGAGGGCCGCUACCACGCGAGUGGAUGCCAAUCCCCAAAACCUCUCUCAGUUCGGACUGGAGUCUGCAACCCGACUCCACGAAGCUGGAUUCGCUAGUAAUCGCGCAUCAGCCACGGCGCGGUGAAUACGUUCCCGGGCCUUGUACACACCGC